CAGGAUGGCAACACUGUCAAAUUGCGGGGAACCCCUAAAGACCUUGACACCAAGCGUCUGCUGGAAACAGCGGCGUGGCCGAGCUAACAGCCCUGGGUAUGGUAAUAGUUCAAGGUAUGAGCCCGAGUGAUUGGGUGAAAUGGGCGAUCUGCAGCCAAGUCCUAAGGCCUCUAGGCUAUGGAUGCUGUUCACAGGCCAAAUGGCAGUGGGUGGGAGUAUCAUCUCCUGCUUAAGAUAUGGUCGGUCCCCUUGUGAAAGCUUGGGGGUAAGUUUACCGGAGUGAGAAAUAAUGAGCAAUUUUACCAGGUGUUCUAUAACUGUAAGAAUAUCUGCGCUUGUUCGUUUGCGGUUCUCAGAAAUUCUGAGUACUUUUACGUUCCGUAGGUGAACCUGCGGAAGGAU
rnacentral:rRNA from 1 species